AAUCCAUGGUGAGGGCAACGUCAAGUAGAUCUUUAUAUCACUCCCAAGCCUCGUAAAGUGAUUCACCCUCAAUUUGAGAAAAAAUUGAAAUUUCAUUACUCAUCUU